rnacentral:misc_RNA from 1 species
GUAGGUGAACCUGCGGAAGGAUCAUUAACGAGUUAGGGUCUUUAAAUAGGCUCGACCUCCCAACCCUUUGUCUACUCGACCCAUGUUGCUUCGGCGAGCCCGUCUCUCUCGGGGGACCGCCGGGGGACUUUUACCGUCCUCUGGCCCGCGCUCGUCGGUGGCCAACCUACAAAUUCUUAAUUAAACGUGUCUUAUCUGAGUACUAUUUUUUAAUUAAAAGCAAAACUUUCAACAACGGAUCUCUUGGUUC